rnacentral:lncRNA from 1 species
UAUUCUUAUAGGGUUUAUAAUCUCAUUUUUAAUAUUUUUUUUCUUUAACCGACCGUUUCUAGAGUAAGUGGCAAAGAGCUUGAUGGUUGGUACCCGAGACCCAAGUUUGAAUCCUAGUUGAUUCGCAUUUCCAGCUAAGUUUAUUUCUAAAUGAAAUAAACGAAGCGGGGUAGCGUGCUACCUAUCUCUCAAUAUAUAUAUAUAUAUAUAGUAAUAAAAGCUUCAACUACUCAGUUUAAUAAAAUGCUUGAGUUACCGACCGUCCCUAGUGAAAGUGGCAAAGGACUUGAUCGUUGAUAUUCGAAAUUCCAAAUUCGAAUCCUAAUUGAUUCACAUUUUCAGCUAAGUUCAUUUCUAAGAAUUAAAGUAAAUGAAACAGAUAAUACACUAUCUUUCUCUCAAAAGAUAAAAAUAAAAUGUUUUAGCUACCGGCCGGUAAUUACUAUAAUC